rnacentral:rRNA from 1 species
GUGGGGAAUCUUGCGCAAUGGGCGAAAGCCUGACGCAGUCAUGCCGCGUGAAUGAUGAAGGUCUUAGGAUUGUAAAAUUCUUUCACCGGGGACGAUAAUGACGGUACCCGGAGAAGAAGCUCCGGCUAACUUCGUGCCAGCAGCCGCGGUAAUACGAAGGGGGCUAGCGUUGCUCGGAAUUACUGGGCGUAAAGGGCGCGUAGGCGGACAGCUUAGUCAGAGGUGAAAGCCCAGGGCUCAACCUUGGAAUUGCCUUUGAUACUGGCUGUCUUGAGUUUGGGAGAGGUGAGUGGAACUCCGAGUGUAGAGGUGAAAUUCGUAGAUAUUCGGAAGAACACCAGUGGCGAAGGCGACUCACUGGCCCAAUACUGACGCUGAGGCGCGAAAGCGUGGGGAGCAAACAGGAUUAGAUACCCGGGUAGUCC